rnacentral:rRNA from 1 species
AUUCAGUGGCGAGGUUAACCGUAUAGGGGAGCCGUAGGGAAACCGAGUCUUAACUGGGCGACACAGUCGCUGGAUAUAGACCCGAAACCGAGCGAUCUAUCCAUGAGCAGGGUGAAGAUUGAGUAACAUCAAUUGGAGGCCCGAACCAGGAUCUGUUGAAAAAGAUUUGGAUGACUUGUGGAUCGGAGUGAAAGGCUAAUCAAGCUCGGAGAUAGCUGGUUCUCCUCGAAAGCUAUUUAGGUAGCGCCUCACGUAGUACCGCCGGGGGUAGAGCACUGUUUCGGCUAGGGGGUCAUCCCGACUUACCAACCCGAGGCAAACUCCGAAUACCGGUGAGUAACGCGUGGGAGACACACGGCGGGUGCUAACGUCCGUCGUGAAAAGGGAAACAACCCAGACCGUCAGCUAAGGUCCCGAAAUCCUGGUUAAGUGGGAAACGAUGUGGGAAGGCUCAGACAGCUAGGAGGUUGGCUUAGAAGCAGCCAUCCUUUAAAGAAAGCGUAAUAGCUCACUAGUCGAGUCGGCCUGCGCGGAAGAUGUAACGGGGCUAAACCAGGUACCGAAGCUACGGGUUCAUCCUUUGGAUGAGCGGUAGAGGAGCGUCGUGUACGCCAAUGAAGGUGGAUUGAGAAGUCUGCUGGAGGUAUCACGAGUGCGAAUGCUGACAUGAGUAACGAUAAAGGGAGUGAAAAACUCCCUCGCCGGAAGACCAAGGGUUUCUGUUCGACGCUAAUCGGAGCAGAGUGAGUCGGCCCCUAAGGCGAGGCCGAAAGGCGUAGUCGAUGGGAAACGGGUCAAUAUUCCCGUACCGGACAUGGUUGCGAUGGGGGGACGAAGAAGGCUAGGUGAGCCAGGCGUUGGUUGUCCUGGUGAAAGUGAGUAGGCUGAGGGUUUAGGUAAAUCCGGACCCUUUCAAGGCCGAGACACGAGAUGAACUGACCACGGUCAGGAAGUCACUGAUGCCACGCUUCCAGGAAAAGCCUCUAAGCUUCAGAUCAUGUGCGACCGUACCCCAAACCGACACAGGUGGUCAGGGUGAGAAUCCCAAGGCGCUUGAGAGAACUCGGGUGAAGGAACUAGGCAAAAUGGUGCCGUAACUUCGGGAGAAGGCACGCCGGCGUAGGGUGAAGAGACUUGCUCUCCUAGCCCGAACCGGUCGAAGAUACCAGGUGGCUGCAACUGUUUAUUAAAAACACAGCACUCUGCUAACGCGCAAGCGGACGUAUAGGGUGUGACGCCUGCCCGGUGCCGGAAGGUUAAAUGAUGGUGUUAGCCGCAAGGCGAAGCUCUUGAUUGAAGCCCCGGUAAACGGCGGCCGUAACUAUAACGGUCCUAAGGUAGCGAAAUUCCUUGUCGGGUAAGUUCCGACCUGCACGAAUGGCGUAAUGAUGGCCACGCUGUCUCCACCCGAGACUCAGUGAAAUUGAAAUCGCCGUGAAGAUGCGGUGUACCCGCGGCUAGACGGAAAGACCCCGUGAACCUUUACUAUAGCUUCACACUGGACGCUGAUGUUGCCUGUGUAGGAUAGCUGGGAGGCUUUGAAACUCGGACGCCAGUUCGGGCGGAGCCAACCUUGAAAUACCAGCCUGGCAUCAUUGGCGUUCUCACUCAGGUCCGUUAUCCGGAUCGAGGACAGUGUGUGGUGGGUAGUUUGACUGGGGCGGUCUCCUCCUAAAGAGUAACGGAGGAGCACGAAGGUACCCUCAGCACGGUCGGACAUCGUGCAUUGAGUGCAAGAGCAUAAGGGUGCUUGACUGCGAGACAGACACGUCGAGCAGGUGCGAAAGCAGGUUCUAGUGAUCCGGUGGUUCUGUAUGGAAGGGCCAUCGCUCAACGGAUAAAAGGUACUCCGGGGAUAACAGGCUGAUACCGCCCAAGAGUUCACAUCGACGGCGGUGUUUGGCACCUCGAUGUCGGCUCAUCACAUCCUGGGGCUGAAGUCGGUCCCAAGGGUAUGGCUGUUCGCCAUUUAAAGUGGUACGCGAGCUGGGUUUAGAACGUCGUGAGACAGUUCGGUCCCUAUCUGCCGUGGGCGUUGGAUGUUUGAGAAGGGCUGCUCCUAGUACGAGAGGACCGGAGUGGACGACCCUCUGGUGUUCCGGUUGUCACGCCAGUGGCAUUGCCGGGUAGCUAUGGUCGGACGGGAUAACCGCUGAAAGCAUCUAAGCGGGAAGCCCCCUUCAAGAUGAGACAUCCCUGAGGCCUAGAGCCUCCUGAAGGGCCCAGCGAGACCAGCUGGUUGA